AGAGGACUGUUCUUGUUCCACUCCUGCUUUUCUGCUUUGUAUUUUGAGCAAACGUUCUUUCUGGGUAACUGCAGGUGGGAAGGUCCCCUGAUUUUCUCCAGGAGCUGCAGGAUACUCAGGCAGAAAUGGACACAGGAAUUGCUACCAGUGAGAAAAAGCUCUGCUCAAAGGAAAAGUCCUGCUGAGAUGGUGGAUGGACUCAGCUCCUGCUCAGCUGUUGUGAGCAAUCACUCUGGCUGCAGGGGAGAAGUAAGACUCCGUAAGCACCUGCCACAAAAGAAUAGGUGUAAACUUACCACUGAACAAGACAAAACUACUGUGCUACAUGGCUUUGACUACCAUUCACACUGAGCAGAACUCUUCUAAUCUGCAAAUACUGCAAAAUAAAAAGGUAACUUUGCAGUAUUUGUAUGCUUCUUGAAAUGACGCUGCUUCUGGAAUUCCUUGUUUAUCACAUCCCACAGACUGCCAAGCCAAAUCUGCCCUACUUUGAAAUAAAUCAUAAAUUCAAAUUGUUUCAAUCCAGUCCUGAAAACCUCCCCAGGAAUCUAACAGUCCAGGUGGCUGGCUGCGUCAAUAGGAGAGACUUCAAAGAUCUGAAGUUAGAACUGAAUGAGCAGAACAACAGGCGCCAGUUAACCCAGACAGACCCCAUCCUUCCUCCGCCAAAUGACAGUGGAGGGAGGGGGGAUGGGAAAGGCAGCAAGUUGUUGCAAAAGGAUUGUAAUCAUUGGAGACUGCAGAUUUGAUUCUGAAUGGAUCAACGGGCUUUGAUUAAGCAUCAGGAUGCUUUUCCUCUCUCUUGCUCUUUUCUCCAUUUUUCAGUGCAGAAGAAACCCUUGGGUCCAGUACCAAACCCUAAUGAAGACUACCAUCAAUUCAAUAAGCUCAGUAUGACACUUUCUUAAUGACUUUAUGCCCUUCGUCAUAAUGCAGCCACAAAACGAAGUGAUAUUCUGAGUGCAGCAAGAAGAUUAAUUCCAACUCUGCGUGCUAAGAGAAAAAUCCACGGCUCUGUCAUUGUGUAAACAAAAAAUGUAAAUAAAGGAAAAAUUAAGAUGUUU
rnacentral:lncRNA from 1 species